AUACUUACCUAGCAGGGGAGACACCAUGAUCAUGAAGGUGGUUCUCCCAGGGCGAGGCUCGGCCAUUGCACUCUGGUCAUGGUGUCUUCCCUGUCGCUUCUCGGCCUUUUGGCUAGGAUCAGGUGUGGUAUCUGUUCUUAUCAGUUGUCAGCGGAGCGCUGAAGCACC